UAUAUUGUUACUCAAAAUUUUAAAAUUUUAUACUAUUAUUUUUUUUUGUGGAGCAAAAUACUAUAAAAUUAGCAUAUGGAAAAUUUAAUAUCAUCAAGUUCUGGAAGUGAAGUAGAUUUUGAGUCAGAUAAUGAUUAUUUGUAUAACAGCAAUCACAACUCGGAGACAGAGAAGGACAAUAUAGAUAGUGAUGUGUGUGAAGAUAGCUAUAAAUAUUGUUACAGUAAAGAUGGAAAAACUAAAUGGAAUAUGGAAUGCCCUACACAAAAAAGGACAAGAUCCCAUAAUAUAAUAUCAUGUUUGCCAGGGG